rnacentral:rRNA from 1 species
GUGAGGAAUUUUCCGCAAUGGGCGAAAGCCUGACGGAGCAAUGCCGCGUGAAGGAUGAAGGCCUAUGGGUUGUAAACUUCUUUUCUUAGAGAAGAAUAUUGACGGUAUCUGAGGAAUAAGCAUCGGCUAACUCUGUGCCAGCAGCCGCGGUAAGACAGAGGAUGCAAGCGUUAUCCGGAAUGAUUGGGCGUAAAGCGUCUGUAGGUGGCUUCAAAAGUCUCCUUUCAAAGAUCAGGGCUUAACCCUGGGCCGGCAGGGGAAACGCUGAGGCUAGAGUUUGGUAGAGGCAGAAGGAGUACCCGGUGGGGCGGUGAGAGGCGUAGAGAUCGGGAGGAGCACAAAAGGCGAAAGCACUCUGCUGGGCCACAACUGACACUGAGAGACGAAAGCGAGAGGAGCAAAAGUGAUUAGAAACCCCUGUAGUCC